rnacentral:rRNA from 1 species
CCCUUAGAUGUUCUGGGCUGCACGCGUGCUACACUGAUAUUGCCAAUAUGUCAUUCUUAUCCGAAAUGGAUUGGGUAAUCAAGUAAUGAAAUUUCAUGCUUGGAAUCGGUAAUUGCAAUUUUAUCGUGAACGAGGAAUUCCUAGUAAGCACUAGUCAUCAGCCAAUGUUGAUUAUGUCCCUGCCCUUUGUACACACCGCCCGUUGCUACUACUGAUUGGGUGUUCAAGUGAGAUGCUUAGACCCUUGUUGCAUGGUUCAUUAUUGUGCUCCGAAAGGAAAAAGUUUCAAGCUUGAGUGUCUAGAGGAAGUAAAAGUCGUAACA